UACGUAGGGGGCAAGCGUUGUCCGGAAUCAUUGGGCGUAAAGAGCGCGUAGGCGGUCCGGUAAGUCGGCUGUGAAAGUCAAGGGCUCAACCCUUGAAAGCCGGCCGAUACUGUCGGACUAGAGUCCGGAAGAGGCGAGUGGAAUUCCCGGUGUAGCGGUGAAAUGCGCAGAUAUCGGGAGGAACACCAAUGGCGAAGGCAGCUCGCUGGGACGGUACUGACGCUGAGACGCGAAAGCGUGGGGAGCGAACAGG
rnacentral:rRNA from 1 species